UUUUUCCCCAAUGCUUUCGUUUCAGUGUAGCAGAAUUGCGGUUGAACUGCUUAAGGAUACGAUUUCAAUGGCGUCUGUCCAGCGGCUGUCACGGAACAACUGAUUCUUCUCCCUGGUUCCUAAUAUAGAACUAAUACGUUUUCGUGGAUGUCAUGGGCAUAUAACUCAGUGGAUCAUGUGCAAUGCUUAAGAAAUGCGGAAAAGCUGAAAGCGUCUUAUUUAAAUAGUCACACGCACGAGCCAUAUGCACCUUUAAUCCAAAGCAGUAUCUUGGUAAACUCAGCCGGCGUCUCCGCCGGGGGACCAUUAACGCGGGGUAACGGCAAGCACACCAGAGGCCAGGUAAUGUCUGUCUUUUUAACUAGCUUUUCCCCGUUUUAUGAUCGACAGGCAGUUUGAUGAGGACCCGGCGUCUUCUGCGUGAUGCAUGCGAUCGUAUUGCUGUUUAACAACACCAGAUUUGGCCAUGAAUAAGCUACUUUUUGUCUGUCCGAUUCCUUUUUUGUGUGUUUGUGUCCAGUUUUUUUCGUUGCAACUUCAUCGAUUGUCAUCAAUGCAUUUCGCACUGUUCAGUCUAAAACGGGGACCUUUAGGAGAAAACCGUGUUUGUGCCGGUGAUUUAUCCGCAGGUAGGUGGGAAAACGUCCUUAUACCACGCCAUAAGUUUGAAAUGUGGAUAUUACGGCAUAUUUCUAGAAUAGCACCCAUACAUUUUCCAUAUUCCCUUAUCCUGUGUACAGGGUAGCGGGGCGUUCGGGGGCGGCGGGCGGGGAAUAGCCCAGGAUGGGGCGCCAACCCAUCGCAGGGCACAUUCACACACCAUUCACAUGUACAUGUACGCCUUUGGGUGAUUUGGUCACACCAGUCAGCCUCAGCAUGUUUUUGGACUGUGGAGGGAGAAACCGGAGUACUCGGAGGAAACAUGACGGUACAGGAAGGGCAUGCAAACUCCACACACUCGGGGGCCGGGGCUGAGGAAUGUAGUUACCGUACCUCUGCGUGUUUAUUUGAGGUUUGCAUUAUAAAAUGAGAGCCAAGGCUUUCUGCGUUGUGUGCACUUAUGCUUGCAACACGACCGACCUUUUAACUGUAAUACUGCGCCUGCCUUUACGGAAACAUGGAAUAAUAUAAGGAAUCAGAACUAUCUGAAUUUUCUUUUUUACAAGAUAUGGCAACUUCUUCCUUUUCCUACAUUGUCGUGUGCAUUACGGGGUUAAGACUGAUUGCUCUGCGAUUAUAUUUGUAGCUAUAAUUAUAUUUAUCUCAACAGUCUUUACGCUAUUAUUACACGGAUUUAUUUUUAAUUUGACGUUUUGCUAAGAUCUCUGUUAGAAGUUAAGUUGCCUUUUUGUCAUUGAUUCUUUUUAAGGAAGGGCAUGUUCAAUGAUGGUACACUAAAUUUAUAUGUUCAUGUUCCUUUUGGGAUGUGAACCUGAAAUAUCCUGGUAGUCCAUGCAUUCAUUCUAUCAUUUUGCUGCUAUAUUGCCAAAACGUUAUAAGAGGCUCAUAAAUUAUCCAGAGGAAACUAUAGGCAAAAACAUAUAUAGUGUAUUUAAUUGCUGCUCUGUUUAUCGAUCUUAUAAUGCCAAGUUAUAUCAUGCCCUUAGAAGUUACCUUCAGGGUGAUACAGUCAUAAUUUAUCUUUCAGUUAAACUUAACCUCGGAGCUUGGAGUGAGUCAUUAUUGCAUAUGUAUAUGAAAUAGAAAAGUAGGACUGCAUUGGAAGUUAUUCGGAACAUUUAAUUAAAUGGUAGAUUUAUUAACCCUCAUUAUUUUAACUUAAAUCAUGGCACCGGUCCUUGGAAAAAAAUCCAUUUCAAGAGCUUCUCUCAGCCCAGAAAAUCUCUUUAGUUGAUUAUGUAUGUGCAACAGUUGUCCUUAUAUUCAAUAUGUGGAAUAUAAGGUGUUUUUGGUGUCCAGAAGAAUUCUGUGGCCAUAUGUGUGUUUUACAUUAUCACUAUGAAGACUUAUUCAGGUUGAGGGACCUGAAAAGUCUGGAAAAGUGGCAGUUGUUCUUGUGAAAAAGGUUCCUGGGAAGCUUGUUAUACCAACUGGGCCAGGGGGAGGGGAGCGAAGAUGAGCUCCGGAGGGGGGGGGCGGCAGUAAGUAAGCAAAUUGGCCUCACCGAUACUGCAUGAGGGGGAGGUUGACUUGUCCCAGCCCCGUAACAAUCCGAAUGAGGAGGCGCCCUUGGAAAUGGCUGCGCAUGAGAAGACGCCUGCUGUAUGUAGCUGUGACAGACGACGACCGGGAGCCCAGCCGAGAUGCUGGCUAAAAACAGGCCGGAUAUCUGAGGCCGGGCGAGGAAGCUGUCCGCCUCCACGCUUAAGUAAGCUCUCGCGUCACACCUCAGCACUGAGAGCCUGGAUGGUGGUCAUGUGAUCUCCCUUCUAGGGAAAUUCGGAAUUUGUGUUAUGGCAAAAUUGACUGGAUUUCCUGGGUAAAGAUGUCGCCGAACUGGACGCGAUGCUGGCCCAGGGGAUCGGGCUGUGUUAGCCAGCCAGCCUCCAGGACAUUGCUCUCCCAUGUGUAUCUGUGCUGCAGUUUCUUUAAUGAAGCUGUGACAGAUAUGGGACCCUUAUAAUUUACUUUACGGCCUGCAGUAGCAGCCUGCGCUGCUGAUCGUGCUCAUCCACGCCUCCUCCUCCUACAUGGGCCUGCCGUAUUGCCCUAAAAACUCCUCCUCAGUUCCCAUUUGCCCCAGAUCGUGGGUUAGGGCGAAGGCUAUUGAUAUAGUUUCAUCUGUUUUAUCUUGAACCUAGUGCUGGUCAACCCAUUGAGUGGCAUGGCUUGUCACCAAGGGCCGAUUUAGCGAGCCAGCUUUAUUGGCAUUGAAGCUUGCUGGGGGAGGGGGCGGUAAUUACGUAGGGCUCCACAGGGGCUUCAACCGGCCCUGCCCACCCCCCUGACUGCACGCUGUGUCAGUGUAACUUUGACAUGACCACUGCUGGUCGGGUUACUUGACCUGGCAAAUGUUGAGGUGGAAUUCCAGUGACUUUGUUUAUCUUUAAAAAAAAAAAGUUAUGAAAAGCUGGUUAGAGAAGCAGAGGAGAAAUUAUGCUGUAAUUCAUUGUCAGAGAUUCAACGGAUUACUGUCAGCGUCACCUCGGCUGCCCAGAUUAUAAUUACCUGCGUAAUUAAAUCACAAAUUAGCUAGUUAAACCAGCCAUAACUUAGGAAUUUAUCCGGUAGAGUGGCUCUGCGGAUAGCACUGGAGCGUCGCACCUUCAGCCUUGCGGUUUGAGUCCUGCCUUAAUCUCUGCGUGUGGAGUUUGCCAGCAGAUGUGAUUGUGUGCGUGUCUCUUGCAGUCCCUGCCUUGUGCCCUGUGCUUAGUUAGAUAGACACCAAGUCCCCGGCAGCAUAGUGCAAGAUAAGUGGUUGUAAGAUGGAGGGGUGGGCGAUAUAUUUGGAAAAAGGUCCAGGCGAUCAGGAGAGGGAUGUUGAAAUCAGGUUUCCUCGAGGCUCAAACCGUCGUCACGGACAAUCUACGUGGGUUGCAUCUCCUCCUGCUUCCCAAAGCCACCACAGGACAUUGAGAAAUCGGCAGACCUGCUUAAUACAAGGUGGAACUUUUUGCCGUCUCUUAUGCAGGGUCUGUACUUGCUGUGGAAUAUAGGGUUGAUAAUACUCUUCGAAUGUGUCUGGAAAUACCGAAUGAACCCGGAAUUCCUGCAGGCUUGUGUACAGAAGCUGGCAUCUCGGUGGAGCCCAGGUGUCGGUUACUACGCCUGAUUGCUUCUCACAUAGCAGAAAUGCCUCCAGGGUGAGCGGGCAGGCAGGCGUUCCGGACUCCCAUCCCCGGAGUCGGGCUGUGCCAGCUGACUCAAACGCUACCUAUUUUUAAUGGUGUGCUUGUUUCUGUUUUGUUCAGGCUGAUGGCAGGUCGGCCACAUGUAAUUCUGAAAUGUCCCGAGGCUUGGGAGGUAGAACCUAACAAAUAUAACAGCUUAAAAGGAAUAAAUAAGGAGACAAAUAAACAGACACACUUUCAGCAUAGAAUUUCAAUAUAAUGCAACAGGUGUGGAAAAAAUGCUCCUGGACCUAAUAGUCCUUUUCCUGAUGGUUCAGGUGUGUAUGUAUGUCAUUCAAAUACGGAGGUGGAAUGAGGAAUCGGUAGCUUCACAGAAGGAACCUUGGAAAUGGACUACAGAAGAGAGACUCCGACCUCUCCAACCAGGUAGACUGGCAUUGAGAAACACUAGCAAGAAUCUUAGGGCGCUUUUGACUGCAGACGGGGGGAAAUCGGCUUUCCUGAAGGCCCGUUUAACUGUUCCACCCAAACAGCUGCUACUUGGCUCUCUGUGCGUAUCCCGGUGAUUCCAGUUAGCUCGGGAUCGAAGUCUUCCUCUCUCUCGCCGCGUGAUUGUCCUCCGAGAAGGAAACAUUUCCUUGGUUAAUACUGGAAUUUAAUGGGUAACGAUUGAGAACAUGUGUGCUGAGAACGGAAUAAGAGAUGGGACACCAUUAAGCAAGUCUCAGAAAUGUGGUAAAUUUUAUCCAAAAGUCGAUCCAUUCAUGUUUGUUUAAUGCAGGGUUAUCAAUCAGGAUCUUAUCCCAGCUAGCAUAGGGCAUAAAGCAGGGAUGCAGCCUGGAUGGGAUACGAGUCUAUUGCAGGGUACAAGAUAGAGAUGCCGACUGAUGUAAUUGGACUACAGGAGGACAGGACCAAACCUGCAACCUUGAGAUGGCAGCAGUAGUGCUACCCAGUGCUGCAGCAUGGCAUGCUAAUCCAGAAGUGUCUGUCGCAAAUAUUUGUGUCCGCUAGCUGCGACCGAACAGGACUGCUGUAUUGUCUUGGUGGUCGCUCCUCAAGUUUCCAUUGUGCUCAUUGUUUCGGCGUCUUAACUGAACAAAGCGGUAUUUGUCAUAUCUAUAAAAAUUUACAUGUCCAUCUGGGAACGGAGCACAAUAAGCAGUUAGAAGAUGGAUUUGUUUAGGUAAUGUUCAUAUUGCUGGGAGAAAGUAGGAUGGAGAAAUGUACAGAGAACUUUAAUUUAGAGGGUCAAGUUAACUGGGGAGAGAUGUUACCUGGUACAAUAGGCGGAGCUUAAAUUUGGCACCGCUUCUGACGUCAUAAGCGCGAGCAGGUGUAUCCCUUAUUCUGAUUGGUCGAGGGUUUAUCUCCAUAUAACAUACAUGCUUAUACCAGGUGUUGCCGAUAGGGGGGCAUAUGAUUUGGGAGAUAAGGGUUGGCGUAAAACUUUAAUAGAAUAAAAAUACUUUCCAUGUAUUUAUGUGUUAUUUUUAAUUACGUUUUUAGGAAGGAUGAAACGUAUAGCGGGGUGAAUAUAAGCGGGGUCCGUCCGGCCGCAGCCACGGGCUGUUAGGAGGCACAAGUGUCACGGCGUAUUUUAAAAGAAGAAAACACCAAAAUGUAUUAAAGAAGAUAUACUUUAGUGUUAUUUAAAAAAAAAAAAAAAGAAAGAAAGAAAAGCAGGCAGAAUUUAAGUACAAACAUGCCCGAACAAAAGAGAAGAGCAAAUGCUAAUUUAUUAAUGUGAUAUUUUAAGUAUGUUUUAAGGCAUAAUAAAACUUUUAACAAUUUUAACGGGGUCACCGGAUGCGUCCAGCUUUUUUAGCUAUAGAGGAAAGAGGGUCUGGCAGUUUUAAAUGGUAAAAGCAGUAGUUAUGUAUUGUUAAAGGGUUAUUCUUUAAACAAAAAUGCACUAUUUUAUGUCGGUAAAACACAGCCAUCCUGUUUUUAGGGGGAUUUAUGCGUGUUGCAUGUCGAGACAUGUCGGUCAGCUAAUGUCCGCGGCAGUGGGAAACGGAGCGUCGGCGCGAGAGCUUUUGGAGUCGUGAGCGAUAAGCGUCAGCGAAACAAAAUGGCCGCCGGUUGACAAAUUAUUGCACGGUGCCUGCAGAGUGACUGUAACAUCUCGUUUAACCACUGGUCCUGAGUGCCCCAUCAUGGCAGUAAGCACAUUACAUCUAUUUGUUGAUCUGUCGUAUUUGUAAAUAGUAUAAAAUAACAUAUUUCUAAUUUAAAUAAAAGUCGAUCUCUAACACCACAGCUCUGGGGCUCUGACGCCCCGCUGCGGGCCUGGGGGUUGGAUGAAGUAUCUAACUACAGUUGUUUAAUCAGCGGGAUGAAGUGCCGUAACCUAAACGGUUGUAUGACAAAUUAGUGUAAAAUUUUAAAUCAGUAAGAUUUAAGUAAUAAAACAGUCUAGCUGUA